rnacentral:rRNA from 1 species
GAUGAACGCUGGCGGCGUGCUUAACACAUGCAAGUCGAGCGGAAAGGCCCUGCUUUUGUGGGGUGCUCGAGUGGCGAACGGGUGAGUAACACGUGAGUAACCUGCCCUUGACUUUGGGAUAACUUCAGGAAACUGGGGCUAAUACCGGAUAGGAGCUCCUGCUGCAUGGUGGGGGUUGGAAAGUUUCGGCGGUUGGGGAUGGACUCGCGGCUUAUCAGCUUGUUGGUGGGGUAGUGGCUUACCAAGGCUUUGACGGGUAGCCGGCCUGAGAGGGUGACCGGCCACAUUGGGACUGAGAUACGGCCCAGACUCCUACGGGAGGCAGCAGUGGGGAAUAUUGCACAAUGGGCGGAAGCCUGAUGCAGCAACGCCGCGUGCGGGAUGACGGCCUUCGGGUUGUAAACCGCUUUCGCCUGUGACGAAGCGUGAGUGACGGUAAUGGGUAAAGAAGCACCGGCUAACUACGUGCCAGCAGCCGCGGUGAUACGUAGGGUGCGAGCGUUGUCCGGAUUUAUUGGGCGUAAAGGGCUCGUAGGUGGUUGAUCGCGUCGGAAGUGUAAUCUUGGGGCUUAACCCUGAGCGUGCUUUCGAUACGGGUUGACUUGAGGAAGGUAGGGGAGAAUGGAAUUCCUGGUGGAGCGGUGGAAUGCGCAGAUAUCAGGAGGAACACCAGUGGCGAAGGCGGUUCUCUGGGCCUUUCCUGACGCUGAGGAGCGAAAGCGUGGGGAGCGAACAGGCUUAGAUACCCUGGUAGUCCACGCUGUAAACGGUGGGUACUAGGUGUGGGGUCCAUUCCACGGGUUCCGUGCCGUAGCUAACGCUUUAAGUACCCCGCCUGGGGAGUACGGCCGCAGGGCUAAAACUCAAAGGAAUUGACGGGGCCCCGCACAAGCGGCGGAGCAUGCGGAUUAAUUCGAUGCAACGCGUAGAACCUUACCUGGGUUUGACAUGGAUCGGGAGUGCUCAGAGAUGGGUGUGCCUCUUUUGGGGUCGGUUCACAGGUGGUGCAUGGCUGUCGUCAGCUCGUGUCGUGAGAUGUUGGGUUAAGUCCCGCAACGAGCGCAACCCUUGUUCACUGUUGCCAGCACGUUAUGGUGGGGACUCAGUGGAGACCGCCGGGGUCAACUCGGAGGAAGGUGGGGAUGACGUCAAGUCAUCAUGCCCCUUAUGUCCAGGGCUUCACGCAUGCUACAAUGGCUGGUACAGAGAGUGGCGAGCCUGUGAGGGUGAGCGAAUCUCGGAAAGCCGGUCUCAGUUCGGAUUGGGGUCUGCAACUCGACCUCAUGAAGUCGGAGUCGCUAGUAAUCGCAGAUCAGCAACGCUGCGGUGAAUACGUUCCCGGGGCU